rnacentral:rRNA from 1 species
AAAUUGAAGAGUUUGAUCAUGGCUCAGAUUGAACGCUGGCGGCAGGCCUAACACAUGCAAGUCGAGCGGUAGCACAGAGAGCUUGCUCUCGGGUGACGAGCGGCGGACGGGUGAGUAAUGUCUGGGAAACUGCCUGAUGGAGGGGGAUAACUACUGGAAACGGUAGCUAAUACCGCAUAAUGUCGCAAGACCAAAGUGGGGGACCUUCGGGCCUCAUGCCAUCAGAUGUGCCCAGAUGGGAUUAGCUAGUAGGUGGGGUAACGGCUCACCUAGGCGACGAUCCCUAGCUGGUCUGAGAGGAUGACCAGCCACACUGGAACUGAGACACGGUCCAGACUCCUACGGGAGGCAGCAGUGGGGAAUAUUGCACAAUGGGCGCAAGCCUGAUGCAGCCAUGCCGCGUGUGUGAAGAAGGCCUUCGGGUUGUAAAGCACUUUCAGCGGGGAGGAAGGCGAUAAGGUUAAUAACCUUGUCGAUUGACGUUACCCGCAGAAGAAGCACCGGCUAACUCCGUGCCAGCAGCCGCGGUAAUACGGAGGGUGCAAGCGUUAAUCGGAAUUACUGGGCGUAAAGCGCACGCAGGCGGUCUGUCAAGUCGGAUGUGAAAUCCCCGGGCUCAACCUGGGAACUGCAUUCGAAACUGGCAGGCUAGAGUCUUGUAGAGGGGGGGUAGAAUUCCAGGUGUAGCGGUGAAAUGCGUAGAGAUCUGGAGGAAUACCGGUGGCGAAGGCGGCCCCCUGGACAAAGACUGACGCUCAGGUGCGAAAGCGUGGGGAGCAAACAGGAUUAGAUACCCUGGUAGUCCACGCCGUAAACGAUGUCGAUUUGGAGGUUGUGCCCUUGAGGCGUGGCUUCCGGAGCUAACGCGUUAAAUCGACCGCCUGGGGAGUACGGCCGCAAGGUUAAAACUCAAAUGAAUUGACGGGGGCCCGCACAAGCGGUGGAGCAUGUGGUUUAAUUCGAUGCAACGCGAAGAACCUUACCUGGUCUUGACAUCCACAGAACUUUCCAGAGAUGGAUUGGUGCCUUCGGGAACUGUGAGACAGGUGCUGCAUGGCUGUCGUCAGCUCGUGUUGUGAAAUGUUGGGUUAAGUCCCGCAACGAGCGCAACCCUUAUCCUUUGUUGCCAGCGGUUAGGCCGGGAACUCAAAGGAGACUGCCAGUGAUAAACUGGAGGAAGGUGGGGAUGACGUCAAGUCAUCAUGGCCCUUACGACCAGGGCUACACACGUGCUACAAUGGCAUAUACAAAGAGAAGCGACCUCGCGAGAGCAAGCGGACCUCAUAAAGUAUGUCGUAGUCCGGAUUGGAGUCUGCAACUCGACUCCAUGAAGUCGGAAUCGCUAGUAAUCGUAGAUCAGAAUGCUACGGUGAAUACGUUCCCGGGCCUUGUACACACCGCCCGUCACACCAUGGGAGUGGGUUGCAAAAGAAGUAGGUAGCUUAACCUUCGGGAGGGCGCUUACCACUUUGUGAUUCAUGACUGGGGUGAAGUCGUAACAAGGUAACCGUAGGGGAACCUGCGGUUGGAUCACCUCCUUACCUUAAAGAA